rnacentral:tmRNA from 1 species
GGGGAUGAUAUAGUAUUUGAUAGUAGGAAUUCGUGUACUAUUGGUGCUUAUUCGGGGCGGUCUCGCCUCGUGAUCAAAGGGACAAAACACAACUGCUACUAAAACUAGCCCUCUCGCACGACUCGCUGCGGGAAUGAAGAAAGCUGUACAAGCUCCUUCAAUUGCUGUUGCCUAGUCAAAUCUAGCAUACAGCGUAGCCUUCUCAAAGAGAUGAGCGCCAAAUGGCCUGCUACAACUUCUUGAUUUUUGCCUCUAUUCGAAAAUUGAGAAUACUUAAAUAGAGCGAUGAUGAAGCGUUUUUAUUAUUUUUCGCAAGAUUUGUCGUAUAAAAUAAAAUAAUUACUUUUUCUUUUUUGGGAAUUUUCGGCGCGAAAAAGUAUAUCUAAAAUUUCCUAUAAUAAGUAGAUUCCUCUACUGCACCCUAUUAGACGCGGGGGCGGUACCCGCCAUCUCCACCA